UGGCGGCAGGCCUAACACAUGCAAGUCGAACGGUAACAGGAAGCAGCUUGCUGCUUUGCUGACGAGUGGCGGACGGGUGAGUAAUGUCUGGGAAACUGCCUGAUGGAGGGGGAUAACUACUGGAAACGGUAGCUAAUACCGCAUAACGUCGCAAGACCAAAGAGGGGGACCUUCGGGCCUCUUGCCAUCGGAUGUGCCCAGAUGGGAUUAGCUAGUAGGUGGGGUAACGGCUCACCUAGGCGACGAUCCCUAGCUGGUCUGAGAGGAUGACCAGCCACACUGGAACUGAGACACGGUCCAGACUCCUACGGGAGGCAGCAGUGGGGAAUAUUGCACAAUGGGCGCAAGCCUGAUGCAGCCAUGCCGCGUGUAUGAAGAAGGCCUUCGGGUUGUAAAGUACUUUCAGCGGGGAGGAAGGCGAUAAGGUUAAUAACCUUGUCGAUUGACGUUACCCGCAGAAGAAGCACCGGCUAACUCCGUGCCAGCAGCCGCGGUAAUACGGAGGGUGCAAGCGUUAAUCGGAAUUACUGGGCGUAAAGCGCACGCAGGCGGUCUGUCAAGUCGGAUGUGAAAUCCCCGGGCUCAACCUGGGAACUGCAUUCGAAACUGGCAGGCUAGAG
rnacentral:rRNA from 1 species